CUGAAAAUCAGAUGGCUUGAAGUUGUGCAUGCGUUUUUCUUCUUUCUAAACCGAGUCUAGAGUGAAACCCCAGUUUUUCCGUGUAUAAACUGCUUCCAAUUUUGUGGUACCUUUUGUGGGCAACAACAGUGAAUUCGAAAAAAAAAAUUACUGGAUACAUCGAACAGCAUUUGUGAUUUGAUUAGUGUUAAUUGCACAUGACCCGACAGUGAACAACGCAUGAAGAGUGAAACUAAAGCAACGUUCUAGAAGCAUACAAUUCUAUUGAAAAAUUCUGAAGUUUUUUUUCAAUCACGAAGUGGUUUAUUGGCAAGCAGUUAAUAAUUUAUAACCCACAAGGCAUUGAACGUGAAAUCGAAAAACGGUCGUCAAUAUUAGGCACAGGAACACAGAGGAAACAUAAAUAAGAAACGGGUUGAGAGGCAAUAAUUAGUUGGAUCUAUUUCGCAAAAGUUUCCCAUCGAAAAGAAAGCCUCAAUAUGAAUAGCAUAGUAAACUUGUUCAGCAAUUUUAAGGAGUUUUACAGUGAGAUCAAUGGUGCUACACUAACCGGUGCAAUCGAUGUGGUUGUAGUGGAACAACCAAACGGCUCCUUCAUGAGUUCGCCGUUUCACGUGCGCUUUGGUAAACUCGGAGUACUGCGAAGCCGAGAAAAGGUAGUCGACAUCGAAGUCAAUGGUGAGCCGGUAGACCUGCAGAUGAAGCUCGGCGAGUCGGGUGAAGCGUUCUUUGUGGAAGAAUGCGCGGAAGACGAUAGCGAAGUACCAGCGCAUAUGGCCACCUCACCUAUUCCUAGCCAUUCGUAUUUGAGCAACUAUGAAGAAAGUGUGCAGAGGAAUGAAAGAUCCGGUGAGCCCAUAUUUACAGCAAUAGGAGGAAGUGAAGCAAUGGGUGCGCCUAUCUCAGGAGUGACUGCGGGGCAUACCAUUGACAUCGGUGAGGGAGCUGUCAUGAGAAUGGUAUCGAGCCAGACUGGAACACGAGAAAAUGACGAUGUUGUAGAGAGCGAAUUGUUGCCUCGGUUACGUCGAAAUUCGGUCGAUCUUUCGAACGAGGACCCCGAGUUGGAACGUGCCAAAUUCGAAAACCAAAGAUCUGAAUACAGCCAUCGUCGUCACACGGACAAUCUUACCAACAGGCCGGACCUUUCGCUGACAAAGAAGGAAUAUACUACGCAAAAGUUGCGUCAAGAACUGAAUGCAGCUGCUGAGGCUGCUGAACAGGAGCAUAUAUUCCACAUGGAAGGCUUGGAUGAUGGUCCACCUGAAGCAGCAACCAACGGACAGGUGGCUAAUAUCGUCGAUUGGAAAAACAGUACUCCCUUGCCGUCAGCGCUCGGCGAAGUAAAUCAGCUGGUAGAGGAUAAACAUUUUAAACCAAUCGAUGCACAACCAACCACUGAGUCCGCACCGACAAGUCAGGCGACCGGGGUUGUUACUAUGAUGGUAGCAACGAUGCAAUCAGCAAUAUCUGGAGAUGGAGCAUUAGACUCGAAAUCAAAAAAGAAGCGCAGGAAGAAGUCAUUGAUGAAAAAGAAAAAUACCCAACGGAAAAAUUCAGCCAGCAGUAGCUCUGGCGCCGGUUCGAAUCAUUCCGAUCCGAACGAGGGAACGGAAACGGACAGUCUUUCGGCCUCGCAAGUAACGGUUUCGUCGACCAGUGGAAGUUCUCUACCCAAAGAAGAUGCUACUGAUGGAGUCGAUCAGGAGGUCCCGGAUAUUAGUUGCGUGGUCAAAAAGGAGGAAAAUGAAGGUUUAACACUUGAUGGCCCAGUCAUGAGUUCUAAUCAUCAUGCAGAUCUAGAUAUCCAUUUCUUCAGUGAUACCGAUAUUGGAACUGGCGUAAGUCCCCAACAGUCGCGUCCUUCCACCCCUAUUCAAAGCGAUACUGAGUUUGAGAUGUCACAACGCGAAAAACCCGUUACAGAGGAUGUACGACUGAUGUAUGGUAACUCGUGGAACUGGGGAGAGUUGCCGACACAAGUAGAAUCUAAGGUGGGUGAUGCCGAAGCGGGCAAACAGGCGCAGCAUAACUCUAUGCUGACUGGUCUGAUGAGUUUGAUGAAAUACAAUAACAAAAAGAAACGCCAAAGUGUACCGGAUGGGAUGUAUUUGUCGGAAUUGGAUAAGCUUAACGAACCAGAGAUCGCCCAGUUGUAUUUCCCUUCAUUUUCGAAAUUGAAGCAGCAACAACAACAAGUCCUGCGAGGUAGUGGUGUCAGCGGUGGUAGUGGUGAUGAUGAAGAUCGCGAGAGUGGCAAUGGAACGUCCAUUCCGCAAAGUCCUACCUCGAUGGAAGAUGUUCCUGGUGGAAAAGAUUCCGACUAUGAUGAACGCGAUCGUAUCGUAACGGGUGGAACAAAGGAGUUGGUUGAUCAAUCUAUUGAUUCUUUCGCUCUCUCUCUCUGUGGUGGGCUAACAAACCUAGAAGGCUCAUCCAAACUUACCGACGAACAGUUUGAGCGUCACCGUUUGCAAUAUGCUAAUGUACUGGCCGACCCUAGUGUGUUCAAGUCACCCGAUCUAGUCGUGCGUAUCAAUGGCAAGUACUACAGUUGGGAAGUUGCUUGUCCACAGGUCAUGACUAUUUUAGCGUUUCAAUGUGCGCUGCCGAAUGAAUUGUUGACUAGCGCGAAGCAGAACUCGGGUGAUGGAUCGAAAAUGGAAGAAUGCAAGAAGGAGGAAGCUCUACAACAAACGCAACAGCAGCAGCCGCAGCCGCCAAAUGCUGGAGGGCGUUGGUGGUAUUGGCGUCGAUCAAAUGAAUCGAAGAGCACUUCUGCUGGCACCCUGCCGACUACACCAAUGGCAACUCCGGAAGAAUCUGGUGAUAUUUCUGAUGCUAAAACCUCGGCAGCUGUAGGCACGCAAACCUCGAGGUCUAACUCUCCAGAUGAUGAAAGUCACGAAGCAGGUUUGAACUCUACUGUACCGCCGUACAAAAAUGUAUCGAAAACAGAAGACGGAUAUAAUGGUUCCCUAUCGUCGGAAGAUUCUGAAUUGGUCAUGGACAAAACGGUUUCCACCGGUGGUAUCCUUAUUGACAACAACAGCGAAAAGGCUCUAUAUCUGCUGGGUUGCGGAGAAAAGUACCGAAAAACGCUGCGUUUGUCUUCGGAGCGCAUUAAGGAGUUGAACCUUUUGGACGGUAUGAACGAGAUUGAAUUCAGUGUAACUACUGCCUAUCAAGGAACGACGCGCUGCAAGUGCUAUUUGUUCAAGUGGAAGCACAAUGACAAGGUGGUCAUAUCCGAUAUUGAUGGAACUAUUACGAAGUCGGAUGUUCUUGGUCACAUUCUGCCCAUGGUAGGCAAAUCAUGGGACCAGAUCGGUGUGGCGCAACUAUUCUCAAAGAUUGAAGAAAAUGGCUACAAAAUGUUGUACCUGUCCGCACGUGCAAUCGGACAGGCGAAGACAACCCGCGGUUAUCUACAGUCGAUUCGUCAAGGGAACGUUAAACUACCGGACGGACCUUUGCUGCUCAAUCCGACGUCCUUAAUGUCAGCUUUUCAUCGUGAAGUGAUUGAGAAAAAACCUGAGCAAUUCAAAAUUGCUUGUUUAAACGACAUUCGAGAUCUAUUUCCCGAGCGAAAUCCAUUCUACGCCGGAUACGGAAACAGAAUCAAUGAUGUAUGGGCGUAUCGGGCAGUUGGUAUUCCGACCUCGAGAAUAUUCACCAUUAAUCCUAAGGGAGAGCUGAAGCACGAGCUAACGCAAACAUUCCAAUCGACAUAUGCCGGACAGUCGAUUGUGGUAAAUGAUUUCUUCCCACCAAUUCAACGCGAGUCUCCGGAGUCUGAGGAUGAUGACGACUACGACGAAGAUGACGAGUAUGAAUCAUUGCAGUUUACAAUUGAAACGAGUGGUGAUGAGCAGCAAUCGCACAUUCAGCUAGAACAACGUGUGCUAAGAAAAAAACGAGUGCGAAAAUCUGGCUUCUCUGAUUACUGUGUCACUAGCGAGAACAGUCUUUUUGAGCAUACCGCGUAGCUAACUUUUCAGCAACUUCUAAACCAUCUGGAAAAGAAAGCCUCUUUAUAACUCUCUAUUGUCUUAACAUAACUCUAGUCAUGUGCCUUCAACAUAAGUUACCAUUGUAAAUGAUCCAGUGUACCGUCCUGUGCCUAGAUGGAUCAAACUAAAAAAUAUCAAAACUCUCUAGCCAACUAGUCAAUAGGUGCUUUUUAUCAAUAGCAGAUCCGCAGGAAAGAUGUUUUAACAGGAAAGAUUGGUGUAAAAUAAGUUGCAUCGAACUAAGCGUUUGCACUAAAUUACCGACAGUCAACGAAUUCGAACCGUUAGGUUCGGAUAUAAUGUUAAUGCCUUGCAGCGGUCUUGAUUAGCACUAUCUGGCUAAGCGUUGAAAAUUAUUGUAUUGCAUGGAUGACUUAGUAGGGCUUUGCAAAAAACAUGAAAUUCCAAAAGUCCAAGAAACAAUCAGAAAACUACCAGAAACAGACAGUAAAAUUGCAACUUUUUCCGAGCGUCUUUAAUCUCAAGCCGGUGGAUUCGAUAAGUUAUCCGGGCAGCCAACCUGGGUUACGCCAACAUGGCUUACAUUGUAGAUCAAUUGUAUCCGCCGAUCAAACACAUCGAAGAGGAAGAUAACGAGUAUACCAGCUUUAACUACUGGCGUGAACCGGUGCCCGAAAUUGAUUUCAAUGCUUGUGACUUAUCUGGAUCCUCGUUGCCAUCAUCGGGUGCUGCGUCGUACCCCUUCACGUUAGCUUCUGGCAAGGUCACUCCCACGGCAAUGCUUAUUCAGCAAGCCUUGCCCACCAUUCCAGAAAACUGAGCCAAAAGAGGGACAGUGUAUUCUCCGCUUUCAUUUAUCAGAUGCCAGCGCUAUCAGAACACGAACAAAUCUUUACGAAUCCAAUCUUCGGCUCUAACUAUACUGAUAAAGAUAAAAAAACAAGGAAAUGAGGCCUCAUUUCUUUACAGAAGACGUGGAUAUGUUGUUGAGACUAUAAGCUAAGCAAAGAAAUAUUCGGUAUAAUAAUAAUAAUUCAUGAUAUAUCGAAAGCUUGAAUAGGUGCUUUGGAAUAGCGAGAAUACGAUCAGAGCGAUCGCGUUGCUUCCACUUUGCUUUAGGUUGGAGAGUUUUUCGAUAAUAAACAGUAACGGUCCAAUGGAAUUGUAUAAGCUAUAAUUAAAACAACAGCGCACAUACGCGUUUGACAAAGUAAGCAAGUGACACCUACUGGUGAAUGUAUAUUGCGUAAGAAGACGGAAAAGAUAAUUAGCAUGCAAAGCAUCAGAAAAGCUAAAAAAGUAACAGAGAAAAUAUGGUGCUCUUAGAACCGAGCAAGCUACCGACAGUUAGCUGUGAUUGCAGUUGGUAAUAAAAAUGAGGUGGACAGAAAAGUUCUAACGGGUUUGCUGAGAAAUACGAAAGCAGGAAUUUAGUUUAGCAGAUCGUACUUUGGACGAUGCAUCAUUGUACUGUAAUCCUCUACAGGACAGUAAUUAGCGAUAGAAUAGAAAGAACGCUAUCGAUAGAGCAUAGUACACAUGAUAAAAAGCAUUAUUCUAACCGUUCAAUGCUAGCUUUGGUUUGUGGUAUAGCAAAGGAAACAAAAGUAUGUGAUAAUUUUUUAUAUUUAUUUUUUUCUUUCGUUUUAGCAUUUUUUUAGCAAGCUUGCAAUUUUUGUAUAGAACCACUAGUAUCUAUUUCAUUGUUUUAUGGAAAAAUAUAUUGCAAAAGCAGCAUUAGAAUUGGAUAAAGCGCUAAAAGACACACACAUUUAUAGAACUUCAAGGUAAAAUCAAUGCUGCAGGUUGACAAUUUCAUUUA